rnacentral:rRNA from 1 species
CGGCGAACGGGUGAGUAACGCGUGGAUUAUCUGCCCUGAGGUGGGGGAUAACCCGGGGAAACUCGGGCUAAUACCGCAUAUGACCGUGAGGUCAAAGGGGGGUCGCAAGAUCUCUCGCCAUAGGAGGAGUCCGCGUCCGAUUAGCUAGUUGGUAGGGUAAUGGCCUGCCAAGGCGACGAUCGGUAGCCGGCCUGAGAGGGUGAUCGGCCACACUGGAACUGAGACACGGUCCAG